rnacentral:snoRNA from 1 species
UGGAUCAGUGGUGGCAUAGGAAUCGUAUAUGAUGAAUACUGUCUGCAACUGUGAGGUCCAA